UACGUAGGGGGCAAGCGUUGUUCGGAAUUACUGGGCGUAAAGGGCGCGUAGGCGGCACGGCAAGUCAGGAGUGAAAGCCCUGGGCUCAACCCGGGAACUGCUUUUGAAACUGCCGAGCUAGAGUGCGGAAGGGGCAACUGGAAUUCCAGGUGUAGCGGUGAAAUGACGUGAGAUAUCUGGAGGAACACCGGUGGCGAAGGCGACAUCCUGGACCGGCAUUGACGCUGAGGCGCGAAAGCCAGGGGAACGAACAGG
rnacentral:rRNA from 1 species